rnacentral:rRNA from 1 species
UUAAAUUGAAGAGUUUGAUCAUGGCUCAGAUUGAACGCUGGCGGCAGGCCUAACACAUGCAAGUCGAACGGUAACAGGAAACAGCUUGCUGUUUCGCUGACGAGUGGCGGACGGGUGAGUAAUGUCUGGGAAACUGCCUGAUGGAGGGGGAUAACUACUGGAAACGGUAGCUAAUACCGCAUAAUGUCGCAAGACUAAAGAGGGGGACCUUCGGGCCUCUUGCCAUCGGAUGUGCCCAGAUGGGAUUAGCUAGUAGGUGGGGUAACGGCUCACCUAGGCGACGAUCCCUAGCUG